rnacentral:ncRNA from 1 species
GUCAAAGCUCUACUCCAAAAAAUUUAAAAACACCAUGAAUCCCUUACAACUAACAGGCUAACCUAUAGUAAUAGGAGAAUUAAUGCUAAAAUGAGUAACCAGGGAAACCCCUCUCAAGCGCAAACUUACAUUACCUCAUUAUUAACAGAUUACAAUAUUCCAACUCCAACUAGACCAUAAUAUUACCUUCCCACUGUUACCCCAACCCAGGAGCGCUCAUUAGAAAGAUUAAAAUCUGUAAAAGGAACUAGGCAAACCCAAGGCCCGACUGUUUACCAAAAACAUAGCCUUCAGCCCACCAAGUAUUGAAGGUGAUGCCUGCCCAGUGACAUAACGUUUAACGGCCGCGGUAUCCUAACCGUGCGAAGGUAGCGCAAUCAAUUGUCUCAUAAAUCGAGACCUGUAUGAAUGGCUAAACGAGGUCUUAACUGUCUCUUUCAGAUAAUCAGUGAAAUUGAUCUUCCUGUGCAAAAGCAGGAAUAAAAACACAAGACGAGAAGACCCUGUGGAACUUAAAAAUCAGCAGCCACUUUACAAAAAGUUUAAACCUAUAUAGGCCCAAGCCAUCAUAAACCCUGGCCUGCAUUUUUCGGUUGGGGCGACCUUGGAGAAAAACAGACCCUCCAAUAAAAUAAGACCUACCUCUUAACCAAGAGCAACCCCUCAACGUACUAACAGUAAACCAGACCCAGUACAACUGACCAAUGAACCAAGCUACCCCAGGGAUAACAGCGCAAUCCCCCUUAAGAGCCCAUAUCGACAGGGGGGUUUACGACCUCGAUGUUGGAUCAGGACAUCCUAAUGGUGCAGCCGCUAUUAAGGGUUCGUUUGUUCAACGAUUAACAGUCCUACGUGAUCUGAGUUCAGACCGGAGCAAUCCAGGUCGGUUUCUAUCUGUGACAAACUUUUCCUAGUACGAAAGGGUCGGAAAAGUGAGGCCAAUACUCACAAGCACGCCUCAUCUACAAGCAAUGAAUCCCACUAAACUGCCAAAGAUACCCACACUCACUCCAGUUCUAGAAAAGAACCGCUAGCGUGGCAGAGCUCGGCUAAAUGCAAAAGGCUUAAGCCCUUUACUCAGAGGUUCAAAUCCUCUCCCUAGCUUCCACCCU